AUUGAACGCUGGCGGCAGGCCUAACACAUGCAAGUCGAACGGUAACAGGAAGAAGCUUGCUUCUUUGCUGACGAGUGGCGGACGGGUGAGUAAUGUCUGGGAAACUGCCUGAUGUAGGGGGAUAACUACUGGAAACGGUAGCUAAUACCGCAUAACGUCGCAAGACCAAAGAGGGGGACCUUCGGGCCUCUUGCCAUCGGAUGUGCCCAGAUGGGAUUAGCUAGUAGGUGGGGUAACGGCUCACCUAGGCGACGAUCCCUAGCUGGUCUGAGAGGAUGACCAGCCACACUGGAACUGAGACACGGUCAAUACUACUACGGGAGGCAGCAGUGGGGAAUAUUGCACAAUGGGCGCAAGCAUGAUGCAGCCAUGCCGCGUGUAUGAAGAAGGCCUUCGGGUUGUAAAGUACUUUCAGCGGGGAGGAAGGGAGUAAAGUUAAUACCUUUGCUCAUUGACGUUAACCGCAGAAGAAGCACCGGCUAACUACGUG
rnacentral:rRNA from 1 species